rnacentral:rRNA from 1 species
UACGUAGGUCCCGAGCGUUAUCCGGAUUUAUUGGGCGUAAAGGGAACGCAGGCGGUCUUUUAAGUCUGAUGUGAAAGCCUUCGGCUUAACCGGAGUAGUGCAUUGGAAACUGGGAGACUUGAGUGCAGAAGAGGAGAGUGGAACUCCAUGUGUAGCGGUGAAAUGCGUAGAUAUAUGGAAGAACACCAGUGGCGAAAGCGGCUCUCUGGUCUGUAACUGACGCUGAGGUUCGAAAGCGUGGGUAGCAAACAGG